rnacentral:misc_RNA from 1 species
GAUGAAGAACGCAGCGAAAUGCGAUAAGUAAUGCGAAUUUCAGAAUUCAGUGAGUCAUCGAAUCUUUGAACGCACAUUGCGCCCUGUGGUAUUCCGCAGGGCAUGCCUGUUCGAGCGUCAUUUCAACCCUCAAGCUCUGCUUGGUGUUGGGCCACGCCCUCGCGGCCGGCCCCAAAGCCAGUGGCGGCGCCGUCCGGCUCUAAGCGUAGUACAUCUCUCGCUCUAGGGCCCGGCGGCUGCCUGCCAGAACCCCAAACUCUUAUGGUUGACCUCGGAUCAGGUAGGGAUACCCGCUGAACUUAAGCAUAUCAAUAAGCGGAGGA